rnacentral:misc_RNA from 1 species
UAUCUAUUCAUUUCAUAAACUUAGCAACAUUUUUUAAGAUAUUUGUGUAGCAACAAGCCGUUACCCUUAUAUUACAACUGUUAUAGGCAUGUUUCUGUUACCUGCAACCAUAAUUUAAAACUAUGGUGCAAUCAGCGAAAAUACAAAAUGAAAAAUCUUGGAAAUUUACAGAUUGGAUCAAACUCUGCAUAACACUUUACCACCUUAUAAAAAUAGUAUGCCAUGCUAAACAAUAAAAUUAUCACUAUUCAAUUAAGAAUGACAAUUCAUUACUUCUCUUCAAAUAAUUCAA